UGCCACUGCCAUGUAAGAAGUGCCUUUCACCACCCCCACACCCUGCCAUGACUCUGAGGCCUCCCCAGCCACGUGGAACUGAGGCAGCUGUAUGGAGGCCAAUAUGCAGACAAGGGAAGUAACUCAGGCAUUUUGGGGGAGAGGUACAGAAAGAAGAGAAAAGACUGAACUGACUGCUGUUCUGAACAAGAACUGUGACUAUAUGUGGUACUCCCAGAAUGCUGGUUUCCUUUCAGACCCAUCAAGUGGCCAUCCUAUUGGCUUGGACUGAAGACCCCCACUGGAGAACUGUCUCUGCAGCCUAUACUGAUGACACUGGCCACUGUCCAGGGCUCCACCCCAAGGAGUCCAAGCCCCAGACAUUUAGCCUUAGAGAGAAUCCAGAUUUUGCAUUUCCAGUGCAGGGAUUGAUGGAGCCUUGUGUAUCAAAGUGCCAAUUUCUUUCUAACAAGCUAGGGAGGAUACCGUUGACAGCAGCAGAAAGGGGUAGCAGUGGUUUGCUUUCCAAAUGGUAAUAAGAAGGGCCUGGCAGUGGCAACCUGUCCACGUAUCAUUAAAAAUGGACUCUCCUGCUUCGUUUGGAAUUCAACCCAAUGAACUUGAAUAAACUCUGGACAAUGACCAGCACAGAGCCCUAAGCAGGAUACAGCAAGAUUAUUUGCUUUACUCAUCCACUGAGUACCUACCAUGUGCCAAAUACUAUGCUAUAUGCCGAGUAUACACUGGCAAAUAAAACAGAUAUGGUCCCUGGAGCCUAUGAAUCUUACCCCAUCUAGCCACAAAUAAUAAAAAUAAGAAGAAUCUGAAGGACAAGUGGGACAGAAAUACUCAAGCAGAAUGAGGGUGAGAUUGAAGUCCCUGAACAUACAGUGCCCUUUACACUUGAUCUUAGCCAAAAGGCCGAGAAGAGAUUACAGUGCUUUUUAAAGGUAGCAUUUCACCCAGCCAAUAAUCAAUCCCUUUGGCCUUCUUGAGGUGCAAGGCCACACACUCAAAUUCUUUAAUCAAACAAUAGGCUAGUGCAAAUGGAGCUAUUUCUUAAACCCAGCUGUUUACACAGCAGCUACAAAUCUGUUCAGAAGGAAUCCCCCACCAUCCACAACUGUCUAUCGAGCAGAUGUGCAAGAGUAUUUGUCUCUCACCACCAGGGUUGCAGUCAGGACAAGAGAGCAGGUUUGAACGUCUUCGGCUCCUAGAACUGCACAAGCUGUGUCUUCAGUGCCCAGAGGCGGCUGCAACGUCUCCCCAGUUCUCCUCUCAGAACAAUGGAAAUUUUUUUUAGAGGCGUAAUAGGAAGGUUUGCAUUGAAUUAUUAAACAAUGGGUAUUGAAAAAUAUGUUUUCUUUGACCUCUGUACUUCUAGCUUUUACCAGUCAGUGUUUUCUUGUACCAAGGCUAAGAUAUGUAUAACACUGAAAUGGAUGUCUUCUUAUAUAAUAUUUUACAAGCUUUUGAAAACCUGUGCCCUUUAAUAAAUUUUAAAACGUUU
rnacentral:lncRNA from 1 species